CAGCCGCCACGGGAAUACGAAGAGGGCUAGCGUUGUUCGGAUUUACUGGGCGUAAAGGGCGCGUAGGCGGACUGAUAAGUCAGGGGUGAAAUCCCAAGGCUCAACCUUGGAACUGCCUUUGAUACUGUUUGUCUUGAGUUCGAGAGAGGUAAGUGGAACUGCGAGUGUAGGGGUGAAAUUCGUAGAUAUUCGCAAGAACACCAGUGGCGAAGGCGGCUUACUGGCUCGAUACUGACGCUGAGGCGCGAAAGCGUGGGGAGCAAACAGGAUUAGAUACCCCCGUAGUCCCUGUCUCUUAUAU
rnacentral:rRNA from 1 species